rnacentral:rRNA from 2 species
CGGCCUGCGCGGAAGAUGUAACGGGGCUAAACCAUGCACCGAAGCUGCGGCAGCGACACUGUGUGUUGUUGGGUAGGGGAGCGUUCUGUAAGCCUGUGAAGGUGUGUCGUGAGGCAUGCUGGAGGUAUCAGAAGUGCGAAUGCUGACAUAAGUAACGAUAAAGCGGGUGAAAAGCCCGCUCGCCGGAAGACCAAGGGUUCCUGUCCAACGUUAAUCGGGGCAGGGUGAGUCGACCCCUAAGGCGAGGCCGAAAGGCGUAGUCGAUGGGAAACGGGUUAAUAUUCCCGUACUUGGUGUUACUGCGAAGGGGGGACGGAGAAGGCUAUGUUGGCCGGGCGACGGUUGUCCCGGUUUAAGCGUGUAGGUGUGUGUUCCAGGUAAAUCCGGUUCACUUUAACACUGAGGCGUGACGACGAGGCACUACGGUGCUGAAGCAACAAAUGCCCUGCUUCCAGGAAAAGCCUCUAAGCAUCAGGUAACAUCAAAUCGUACCCCAAACCGACACAGGUGGUCAGGUAGAGAAUACCAAGGCGCUUGAGAGAACUCGGGUGAAGGAACUAGGCAAAAUGGUGCCGUAACUUCGGGAGAAGGCACGCUGACACGUAGGUGAAGUGAUUUACUCAUGGAGCUGAAGUCAGUCGAAGAUACCAGCUGGCUGCAACUGUUUAUUAAAAACACAGCACUGUGCAAACACGAAAGUGGACGUAUACGGUGUGACGCCUGCCCGGUGCCGGAAGGUUAAUUGAUGGGGUCAGCGCAAGCGAAGCUCCUGAUCGAAGCCCCGGUAAACGGCGGCCGUAACUAUAACGGUCCUAAGGUAGCGAAAUUCCUUGUCGGGUAAGUUCCGACCUGCACGAAUGGCGUAAUGAUGGCCAGGCUGUCUCCACCCGAGACUCAGUGAAAUUGAACUCGCUGUGAAGAUGCAGUGUACCCGCGGCAAGACGGAAAGACCCCGUGAACCUUUACUAUAGCUUGACACUGAACAUUGAGCCUUGAUGUGUAGGAUAGGUGGGAGGCUUUGAAGUGUGGACGCCAGUCUGCAUGGAGCCGACCUUGAAAUACCACCCUUUAAUGUUUGAUGUUCUAACGUGGACCCGUUACCCGGGUUGCGGACAGUGUCUGGUGGGUAGUUUGACUGGGGCGGUCUCCUCCUAAAGAGUAACGGAGGAGCACGAAGGUUGGCUAAUCCUGGUCGGACAUCAGGAGGUUAGUGCAAUGGCAUAAGCCAGCUUGACUGCGAGCGUGACGGCGCGAGCAGGUGCGAAAGCAGGUCAUAGUGAUCCGGUGGUUCUGAAUGGAAGGGCCAUCGCUCAACGGAUAAAAGGUACUCCGGGGAUAACAGGCUGAUACCGCCCAAGAGUUCAUAUCGACGGCGGUGUUUGGCACCUCGAUGUCGGCUCAUCACAUCCUGGGGCUGAAGUAGGUCCCAAGGGUAUGGCUGUUCGCCAUUUAAAGUGGUACGCGAGCUGGGUUUAGAACGUCGUGAGACAGUUCGGUCCCUAUCUGCCGUGGGCGCUGGAGAACUGAGGGGGGCUGCUCCUAGUACGAGAGGACCGGAGUGGACGCAUCACUGGUGUUCGGGUUGUCAUGCCAAUGGCACUGCCCGGUAGCUAAAUGCGGAAGAGAUAAGUGCUGAAAGCAUCUAAGCACGAAACUUGCCCCGA